rfam:Picoides pubescens contig45429, whole genome shotgun sequence.
GUGCUCACAAGAACACUUCUCCUGCCCUGUGGCAGUGAUGGGUGCUGGCAAAGUGUGAGCUAGAGCAUGAGUAUUGCUUUGGGAGUGUCACAUUACAGACCACAUGAGACACUACAGUUCUCAAUACAACA